UACGGAGGGUGCAAACGUUGCUCGGAAUCAUUGGGCGUAAAGCGCACGUAGGUGGCUUGUUAAGUCGGGUGUGAAAUCCCUGGGCUCAACCCAGGAAGUGCACUCGAAACUGGCGAGCUUGAGUACUGAAGAGGGUCGCGGAAUUCCCGGUGUAGAGGUGAAAUUCGUAGAUAUUGGGAAGAACACCAGUGGCGAAGGCGGCUAACUGGUCCAGAUCUGACGCUGAGGUGCGAAAGCGUGGGGAGCAAACAGG
rnacentral:rRNA from 1 species